UACGUAGGGGGCAAGCGUUGUCCGGAAUUAUUGGGCGUAAAGGGCGCGUAGGCGGCCUGGCAAGUGACGGGUGAAAGCCCUCGGCUCAACCGAGGAACUGCCUGUCAUACUGCCGGGCUUGAGUCCGGGAGAGGUGAGUGGAAUUCCCAGUGUAGCGGUGAAAUGCGUAGAUAUUGGGAGGAACACCAGUGGCGAAGGCGGCUCACUGGCCCGGUACUGACGCUGAGGUGCGAAAGCGUGGGGAGCAAACAGG
rnacentral:rRNA from 1 species